rnacentral:rRNA from 1 species
CCUACGGGAGGCAGCAGUAGGGAAUUUUCGGCAAUGGUGGGAACCCUGACCGAGCAACGCCGCGUGAAGGAAGAAGGAAUUCGUUCUGUAAACUUCCGUUAUAAAGGAAGAAAGACGGAUGGAGGAAAUGACAUCCGAGUGACGGUACUAAAUGAGAAAGCCACGGCAAACUCCGUGCCAGCAGCGCGGUAAAUACGUAGGUGGCUAGCGUUAUCCGGUAUUAUUGGGCGUAAGGAGGGAGGAGGCGUCAGCAAAGGUCUGUGGGAAAGGACUGAAGCUAAACUUAAGUAAGCCAUAGAAACCGGGCAGCUAGAGUACAGUAGAGGAUCGUGGAAUUCGAGGUGUAGCGGUGAAAUGCGUAGAUAUAUGGAGGAACGCCGGUGGCGAAGGCGACGAUCUGGACUGCAACUGACGCUGAGUCCCGAAAGCGUGGGGAGCAAAUAGGAUUAGAUACCCUGGUAGUC